UUUUCACGCAUCCCAUCCAUUCGCAGGUGAUAUGGAUUUGAAGGUGAGCUAGCUCAGUGCCUUGGAUCUCGGCCUGGAUUGGUAGCAGAGCUGGUCACCUCACAGGUUCUCCUUUAUCCACACCAGCAGGAUGAGCUCUCCAGCACUGCUCUGGCGAGGCCACACAAUGCCUGCCACAAUCCACAGUAAGCGGGACUGUUCUUUUGCUCCCAUGCAAUUGGAGCCGGGUCACUCACAUCCACGUCUCCAGAACCAGCUCCAAGACCUGGGGCCCACUCUCUCAAAUCCUGAAGCCCGUGGGCCAGUUCUACUAUGCUGCCCAGGAUUUACACAGAUUGCUGUUGUCUUGAGUGCUCCAGCCACCAGUUCACAGAGCUAACUCACCAGCUCUCAGGACCCCAAGACCAGUUCUCCUGACUGCUGAAGAUGGUGAGGGGCAAUGGGAUCAUCUUGUAGUAGGGUGAGUCACAUCAGUGACUGAAGAAGCUUCCAGCUUUAGCCUAGAGCCUGGUCAUUGGUGAGAAUUGGUCAAAGGUGUCCAGCUUCUUGGGUUGAACAGCUAAACGUUCUCUAACAUUCCAGGGUGCAAUGCCCACUGUUGGACUAGCCAGCCUCCAACCGUAUGAACUGAUUUUGUACAUUUCCUUAAUAAUUAUGGAAUUAUCUGUGUCUUAUGAACUCCACCUAUGUAUUUGUUUUGUUCCUGCAAAGCUCUGUAAGUUAGGAAGGGUGUAAGACGCUUUCCCGAUUAUGGAUUAUGGGGAAAGCACUGAGCCUGUAGUGCUUUCCAAAAGGUAAUUGCCAGUAAAGAAAAACACAGU